rnacentral:rRNA from 1 species
UACAGAGGUCUCAAGCGUUGUUCGGAUUCAUUGGGCGUAAAGGGCGCGUAGGCGGCGGGGUAAGUCGGGUGUGAAAUCUCAGAGCUCAACUCUGAAACUGCACUCGAUACUGCUCUGCUUGAGGACUGGAGAGGAGACGUGGAAUUCACGGUGUAGCAGUGAAAUGCGUAGAUAUCGUGAGGAAGACCAGUGGCGAAGGCAGCUCUCUGGGUCCCUAC